rnacentral:sRNA from 1 species
GACAAUCGCGGCCACCGCCAGGUGGAACGGCAGGUGGGUUCAGGUACCAGCCUGGCCUGGACCCGGCUGUGGGACCAACACUUCCGACUUGGAUUAUGACAUCGAAGAGGAUAAACUCGGAAUCCCGACUGUGCCUGGGAAGGUGACCCUGCAGAAGGAUGCUCAGAACCUGAUCGGGAUCAGCAUUGGAGGAGGGGCCCAGUACUGUCCCUGCCUCUAUAUCGUCCAGGUAUUUGACAACACUCCAGCGGCCUUGGACGGCACAGUGGCAGCUGGCGAUGAGAUCACCGGUGUCAAUGGCAGGUCAAUCAAAGGGAAAACUAAGGUGGAGGUGGCGAAGAUGAUUCAGGAGGUGAAGGGGGAGGUGACCAUCCACUACAACAAGCUGCAGGCGGACCCCAAGCAGGGCAUGUCCCUGGACAUUGUGUUGAAGAAAGUCAAGCACCGGCUGGUGGAGAACAUGAGUUCAGGGACUGCAGAUGCUCUGGGCCUGAGCCGGGCCAUCCUGUGCAAUGAUGGGCUUGUCAAGAGGCUAGAGGAGCUGGAGCGGACCGCCGAACUGUACAAAG